UAACCCAUUUACUAUUAAUAUUUCGGAGUUUUCCUGACAAUUUUGGAAGAUGUUUCCAAUGCACUCUGAGAUAUGCAUGUGGGGCGCAGAUUUGAUUUUCUCUCUUCUUAUGGUUGAUUGCAUCAAAGUCAAACCAAGCAAAGAGGUUACGGAGUCAUUCAAAUUGCUGAUGCGUUGUUCCCAUGAAUGUCAAAAUAUUGUUUUUUGGACUGCUAUGAUAUCCGUGUACACUUAGAAUGGGCUCACAGAACGAGCAAUGAGUUUUGUUUUUGGAGAUUUUGGUGGAUUCGAAGGUAAGCACCAACUGGGCAACUAUCAUAUGACACGAGUGUCCUUCCGGCGCGUUUUCGUUUUUCUGCUCUGGAAUGGUACAAAAGAAGUAAAAUAAGACCUAAAGCAGAAUACAGAUAAACCAAAACAAUAUUGAUGAAGGAAGAUUUGGCCCGACCUCGUAACCACUCAACACGUGGCAAAGGCAACAGC